UACGGAGGGUGCGAGCGUUGUCCGGAAUCACUGGGCGUAAAGGGCGCGUAGGCGGCUCAUGAAGGCUGUGGUGAAAGUCCGGGGCUCAACCUCGGAUCGGCCGUGGCGACUCGUGGGCUGGAGCACUGUAGAGGCGGGUGGAAUUCCGGGUGUAGCGGUGGAAUGCGUAGAGAUCCGGAAGAACACCAGUGGCGAAGGCGGCCCGCUGGGCAGUGGCCGACGCUGAAGCGCGAAAGCGUGGGGAGCAAACAGG
rnacentral:rRNA from 1 species